UACGUAGGGGGCAAGCGUUGUCCGGAAUCAUUGGGCGUAAAGAGCGUGUAGGCGGUCCGGUAAGUCGGCUGUGAAACCUCCAGGCUCAACCUGGAGACGCCAUCUGAUACUGCCGUGGCCUGAGUCCGGUAGAGGAGCAGGGAAUUCCUGGUGUAGCGGUGAAAUGCGCAGAUAUCAGGAGGAACACCAGCGGCGAAGGCGCUGCUCUGGGCCGGUACUGACGCUGAGGAGCGAAAGCGUGGGGAGCGAACAGG
rnacentral:rRNA from 1 species